CCAUCGCGUCCGAACUCCUCCCACCCGGCCAGGUUGGAGGCGGCGUCGCCGU
rnacentral:sRNA from 1 species